UCUCUCUCUCUUAUUUGGCCAGACUAAGAGGGAGACGGGGGAAAGAGCUCCAAUAAGGAGGUCAGGGUUUGUUUAAGAAACAUCAGAAGAGAUCUGAAGUGAGAGAGGGAGUCCCCCCCCCCCUUCCCCUUUCCCUUCCCCUCCUUCCCUCCCCCCGCGCACCACCUCUCCAGCGUGUGUUGAGGUGACUGGCGAGUGUACAGAGAGCUGGUGCGGCUGCCCUCUCCUCCCCCAUUGUUUCCAGUGUCUUUUUGCCUUUGUUAUUUGCACUCGCAUUGUGUUGUUUGUCUCUGAAGCCGCCUCAUGACCAGCAAAGGGAUUUCACCUCGUCCUUGAGAGCAACACAGAAAGAGUGAGCGAGCGAGAGAGACAGAGGGAGAGACAUACACACACACUCUCUCUCUCUCAUACACACACACACACAUACACACAUAGACACACGGGGGAAAAAGGCGAUCUACCAAAAUCCAUCUCCAAUCUCCUCUUGUUUCCCCCCAGCCCAUCACUGUUCCACUUUGCAUCCCACGCAAGAGGAGACUUUAAAGAGACCGGGUUGAAACCAACCUCUGGAAACAGAAAAGUGAUCUGAUCAUGGCAAAAAUAUAAAUAUUUUAGUUUGUUUUGAGGGAUGAUUUUAAUAUGUUUGGAGGAGUUGUGAAGAGAGCUCAGGUAAGUUCUGGCUUUUUUUGUACCCUCUUGUUUCUGCCCUCAAUCCCUGUCUUUCAAAAACUUUUUCAACAUUAACUAUGCUCCUUUUUUGUCAUUUCUGUUGAUUUGCUACUUAAGUGAACUCUUAGGAGGUUUUUUUUUUAUUAUUAUUAUCAGUGAUGUGUAAAAUUCAUACAUAGUUGUUAAUAACUUGUGAUUCUUUUCUUGACAUCUAUUUAUAUUUAAUACAUUUAUAUUAUUAAAAGAUUUACCAUUUGUCUAUUCAUGAAUGGUUCUAGUCACAUAUAUUUUUGUAAACUAUUUAUAGCUCUUAGAUAACAAAUCCUUAUCAGAGAUAUCUGAUAGCAAGAAAUUUCCCAGUCAACUAGUUACCUCCUUAUCUUAGAUAUAACAAUCUUAUGUGUAAAAAAGCUUUUCAAUUUCAUUUAAUCAAAAUUAUCUAUGUCAUCAUUUCUAAUUGCCUCUAUCCAUUUAGUUAAGACUUUACUCACUAUAGUGAAAAAAUCUACUUCUCUUCUAAUUUUUUAUGGCAUGGUUUUAAUAUUCAGAAUUUAUAACCAUUUUGAAUUUAUUGUGGAAUUCAUGAUGUACAAUGGUGAUUUGAGCCUAAUUUCUGCCAAACUCUUUUCCAGUUUUUUUUUUCCGGAUCUCUUAUUAAAGAGGUAUUCUCUGCUGUUUUCUAAGUAAAACUUAUUUGUAAGUAGUGAUAACUGUAUCUCCUCUUUGUAUAUACUUUUUAUUAUACUUUUUAAAUUCUUGACUUGUCUUGCUGAAAUUGCUAUCAUUUCUAGAACUAUAUCAAAUGAUAGUGGGAAUAAAAGAACAGUUGUUUUUCUGUAAGAAUUAUUUUGUGGUAUUUUCAGUGUUCCUUUUCUAGUCAUUUAUUGCUGUUUUUCAGCAUGUUAGAGGUUUGGUUUUUUUAUUUUUCAUAAUGGAAAUGGGUCUUUGUUCUGUAUUAUUUCUCAUUUCUGUCUUCCUAGGAUUUCCUAGUUUAAACAGUACUUGCUUUGAAAUACAAAUGGAGAAGGUAGUGUAGGGCAACAUUUUGACGGAAAAUGAAUUAAAUAUUUUACUCAGUUAAAGACUCACUGAGCUAGCAAUGUGAAAUAAUGACCAAUGAAUGCUAAUGUGAUGUAAGCUACAUUUGGGAGAGACAUAUAUUGUCCAGAAUUAGGUCAGUGUUAGCUUAGAAAAACUCUAUACAGUUCAGACAUUUUGUGGAGAAUUACAUUCCAUUCUAGAAAGUACAGUGAAAAGAGGGAUCAAUGAUUUAAAAAUAAUUCUCUACCACUUAUUAUCCUAUGUGAUUUUUGGAAAUUCACUUCAGUUUUUUCACUUCUGAAAUGAAGAUUUUUAAACUAUAUGUCUUCUAGAUUUAACUCAAUGGUUUUAUGAUUAUUCCAAAUGAAUAUCAAUAUGAUGUCAUGUGAAUUUUGAGCUUUAAAUACCAGGAAAUCUUCAUUUUAUGAAGCAUUUAUUUAACAAAAAGUAUUGACUUAAGGAGAAAAUCCUAAUUUUUUUAUUCACCAAUUUGAGUUAAAGCAAACCUAAGAAUGAAUUGGGAUUUUAAGAGAGAUAAAGCAUUUUCUUCUAUACUUCUUUGUAAUAACUAAAAGUGAGGGUACCAAAAUACUAAAAACAAAGUUUAUUUUUGUGAGAGUGUGAAAAAGAAGUAUAUAUUUGAUUGAAUCUUUAGAAUUGCAUAGGUGAAAUUUCUAGAUAAGACUUAUUCUUAUACAAAAGUGAAUUUUUGAAAAACAUCCCCAGCAUUGAAUUUAGAUGUUUUAACAAAUGGAGGAUUGGUUUAGUUUAUAUUCCUAAAGAUGUAGAAUUGGGCCAAAUGUAGAAUGAGCUGUGAUGUUACAGAUAAAAAUCAUGCAUUUUUAACCUCCGUCUCUAAGGACUUUGUUAGCAUCCAUCAUUCCCAAAUGUGUGUGUGUUUGUGUGUGUAUGUGUGUGUGUACUUUAUCUAGAAGGUAAAACAUAUUCUCUUUCAAUGUCAUGGGAUUAAAAUAUAGCAUCAACAAAUCAUCUAGUAUAUUUUUUAUAUCUUUUGUUGUCUAAAAAGAAAAUAAAAGUAUGGUUUUGAUUGAUAAACAUUUAAGUUCUUUCAUAUUCCCUGAACUUUAGGGAUAUAUUUCUUCCUCAGAGAAAGCUUAUAUUUUCCAGAGAUGUUCCAUAGGAAUCCUAAAUCAUACCACAGACACCUGUACCCAUUUAUGGGUAUGUUGUCCAACUCACAUGAAUUAGAGAAUAAGUUGGACUAUUGUUUGAAAGUAUGUGUUUCCCUUUAAAAAGCUCAUUAAUCUCAUCAUGCAGAAUCUAGUGGGAAAGUUGUAUUUCCCCACUGACAUUGUUUAGCGUAAAUGAUUAAUGAUUGCUCUAUAUGUAUACACAAUAGACAUUUUAUAUAUUAUAUUGUUCUUAGAGUAACAUGAUAUAUAAAUGUUAUUGCUAUAAAUUCUGUACUUGGUUAUACAUAUUAUAUCAUGUAUUUAGUACAAGUAUAAAAGCUUACUGUUCUUUGGCUAUUUCUAUACAGCUGGUAACUUAGGUAAGCAGUUAAAACAUGUCUAGAACUACUCAAUCCCUGCACAACUACAGAACAUAUUGUUAACUCUCCAAGACUGAUUUUGGCAGUGUCCCAAGGUUAUGACAGUCAGAAAGAAAGAUUUAAAAGUCAAGCUCAAGCAGUUUUUCUCAAAAAUAUGUCAGAGAUAUUUUUGCAACAGAAUUGAGAUCUAAGUUAGUGAAGAGGAAAUCGUGCUAGAAGGAAAGAUAUAUUAAAGAAAAGUUGAUAGAACUUGGUUAGGAUAUUUUAUUUAUUAGAUUUUACUCAGGAUGCAGAUAAUAAAGUAAUAGUAAUUUACCUAUAAAUAUAUUUAACAUUAUUAAAAGUAUGCUGUAUGGAUGUAAAAAUAAAUAGUACAAGUUAACUUAUAGUAUGUUUCAUACAUAUAUUCAGAACAGGUCAUAACUUAUUUUGAGACUAAGGAGUUAACAGUCAGUACUUUGUGGUUUCUUCAUAUUAAUGAUUAUUCUGUUUAGUAAUAGAAAUAUUUUCUAUUAAUAGUAUCUUAGUAGGAAAACAUGCAUUUCUAGGGGGAAGAGGGCACAAAUAAUUUUAAAAUCUUUUAAAAUGUAAAAUCUUGUACCAGCCUUGAA